rnacentral:rRNA from 1 species
GAUGAACGCUAGCGGCAGGCCUAACACAUGCAAGUCGAGGGGGUAGAGUUCUUCGGGACUUGAGACCGGCGCACGGGUGCGUAACGCGUAUGCAAUCUACCUUAUACAGGGGAAUAGCCCAGAGAAUUUGGAUUAAUGCCCCAUAGUGUUAUCGAAUCGCAUGGUUUGAUAACUAAAGUUCCAACGGUAUAAGAUGAGCAUGCGUCCAUUAGUUAGUUGGUAAGGUAACGGCUUACCAAGACAAUGAUGGGUAGGGGUCCUGAGAGGGAGACUCCCCCACACUGGUACUGAGACACGGACCAGACUCCUACGGGAGGCAGCAGUGAGGAAUAUUGGUCAAUGGGGGCGCAAGCCUGAACCAGCCAUGCCGCGUGC